rnacentral:rRNA from 1 species
AUUGAACGCUGGCGGCAGGCCUAACACAUGAAAGUCGAGCGGAGCGGCGGUCGGGUGCGUAAUACCUAGGAAUCUGCCUGGUAGUGGGGGGUAACGUUCGGAAACGGACGCUAAUACCGUAUACUAUCAGAUGAGCCUAGGUCGGAUUCGCUCGUUGGUGAGGAAAUGGCUCACCAAGGCUACGAUCAGUAACUGGUCUGAGAGGAUGAUCAGUCCCACUGGAACGGAGAAACGGUCAAGAUGCCUACGGGAGGAAGCAGUGGGGAUUAUUGGACAAUGGGCGAAAGCCUGAUCCAGACAUGCGGCGGGGGUGAAGAAGGUCUUCGGAUUGUAAAGCAUUUUAAGUUGGGAGGCGUUACCGACAGAAUAAGCACCGGCUAACUCUGUGCCAGCAGCCGCGGUAAUAC